rnacentral:lncRNA from 1 species
GUCUCAUUGUAGACUGGCUUGGAAUUCCUCCCAGGUCAUAUCGCACAAGUGCAUAACUGCAUAAGUGUACACCACCACACACCACCCCUGCUUUGUUACCUCUUUAUUUUCCAAGUUGAAUUUGCUAGUCAAUUUUUCUCCUAAAAUACUUCCUUAGAGAAAUUUCUUCACUUAGAAAUGGAUUUACAUAUCUGUAUGUUCCUUGUAAUUUUUCAGCAUUUAAAGGAGUGGUUCCAAAAGUGUGUAGAGACUCUGUUCUUAAGACCAGUCCCUACACUUCCAAAGACAGAAUAGAAAGUUUGAAUGGAACACGUCGUGUUCCAUAAACUGCUUAGUAACACCAUCCUUUAAUAGUAGGCAGUGGUGGCUCACAUCUUUGAUUCCAGUGCUCGGGAGUCAGGUGGAUCUCUCUGCAUUUGAGUUCAGCCAUGUAUACAGAAUGAGUUCCAGGACCUCCAGGGCUAUAUAGAGAAACCCUCUCUUAGAAAACAAACAAACAAAAACAAAAACAAAAAAAUCAACUAAUGGCUAGACGGGUGUUAAAAAUGCAGUUGAUCUAAAGCAUGUUUUAAAGUACAUGCUAUAGAGGUGUCUGGCCUUCAGGACUCAAUGUGUCCUUCCCAGUCCUUCAUUUCAUUAAAGCCAUUUUUUACUGUUAAGAUAUAAUUUUUUCCUGGUAAAUUUUUCUGUUCUGUUCUGUCUGCAUAAAUUCUCUGACUCUCAACUGUUGUCUUUUUUUCUGUGCUUUCCUAUUCAAAUACAUGCUUCAAUGUUUGUGGCUCUUGCUUACAGGAAGAAGAGGUGGCGGAGUCUGGGGUAAGUGGGGAAAUGAACAACUGGAAUGAAGGUUGUGCAUCUCUUAACAUGUGCUGCAUCCUUUUCAUUAAUGCACGCAAACCAGAUAGCAUGCCUUCUAUUAACUCCGUCAGCCUACAUUCUGACAAAUGCCUUUUGCUAACAAGGUGAAAGUAGUGAUGGAACUAGCCUUGUAUUGAUCUCAGUUUUGUUUGUUUUGUUUUUCCAUUAUUGGCAUCCUGUAGUCCCUUUUUAGAUUUAAAUUUAACAGAUUCAUGAGAUGUAGACAAUAAUAACAAAUAUUUGUUGCAUACUUCCUGUGUCCUCUACACUGUUGUAAGCUCCCAAAAUGAAUAACCUUUAAAAGUCUUUUACCCUAUGAGCUGGUCUGUUAUCCCCAUGGUACAGAUGGGGAAGGUAAAUUGCCCAGUCUUGCAGCUUAUUGAUGGUGUAUCCAAACCUAGGCAGUCUGCUUUAAAAGCUGCCUACACUUUCUCUAAUUUCAGUGCCUGUCUUAUGAAAGAGAACAUAUAUGUUGAUGUAUAAAAAGUCUGUUUGUAAGGGUUGCAUUUUUUAUUAGUUUUACAGAGAGACGUAUUUACUUAAUCUGUAUUGUCAAAGUGAAUAGAGGUUUUAAUCCCUCAUCAGAUCCACUGAAUGCCUGAAACUUGAAGCUUAAAUUGAAAUUUACUUUUAAGUUUCUACCACCUUUGAAUAAAAAGAUUCCCUUUUCUCCCCUAAAACUUCUUAACUGCUCAGCCUUUGUGGUUUAAGUAGGUUCUGGACUCUUAGUUCUGCAUUGGUAGCCAUCUGGUUUAGAGCCACAGGCAGUUAAAGAUCGUAUGCAUCAUUUUCCUAGACCUUUCUAUUUUAAGUAAGGAAACAGUUGGUACUAUAGGUGCAUGGAAUUGCAUACAGAGACCACAUAGAAUUUUGAUGUUUAAAACUAAUGAAUGUGAAGUUAGAUACUUAGGCUACAUAUAAGAAUUUUUUUAGCCAUGUCUUUCUUUGAGUCUUAUUUGUGGUCUUGUUUUUCAUUUGGUGAACUUGACUCUCCUCCUCUGGUGUGUUUCUUGUGUGUUUUCUUCUACGUCAUACCUUUGUGUCUUGGUCUUCCCUGGUUCUUCUUACUGAAAGUAGAAAUUGAUGCAUUACCACCUCAGUAGGGCAUCUUAUGACCUAGUGACUGAGCUACAGCAGCCACUGUUCAACUGAUAGCAUUUUUUCCUCUAGUAUUUGGAGCUUGCAAACAGCAGGUGUUCUUAUUUCACAUCAGUGUUUGAUGCUUUGCAGUGGUUCAGAAGAUACUUUAUCAUCAUCUGUCGUUCUCAUGCAUUAGAACUUUGUAGUUUUGUUUACAAGCUGGCUUUUUUAUAUUGGAUAACAACUAAGAUAAAAUAAUUAAAUGCUAGCAUUAAAAUUUUGUUUAUAAAUGUUAAGACUUUGUUUCACUGUGAGUUCAAUCUCUGGAAUCCACAUAAAAGUUGGAGAUAAACCAGUUCCAUACAGCAGUCCUUUGACCUUCACAAAUCCACUGUAGCAUGCAUACACAUGCACACUCACACAUAAUAAUAGUCACCACAUUAUAAGAUGUUUUAUCUUGUGUACCAAGAAAAGCCAGUGCAGUACCUUGUUUGUUUGAGCUUAUUGAAAUGCUUCUCACGUGUCUGGAUGCUGGUGGGAUCUUGGGACUUUCUCAGCACGGAGAGGAGACUUGGGAGGGUCAUAGCUGAUAGAACAGGCAGCAGAGGCGAUAAGGAAUCAUCGAGGGGAGGGAAGUCAGGCAAUGGUCAAGGGAACUUAGCACCCCUAACUGUCUAACAUUUCUUCUACUAUAACUUACUAGCAACCAGCUGCGUCUUGAUUUAAUUUUUUUUUUUUUUUUAAAGAUUUAUUUAUUUAUUUAUUAUAAGUACACUGUAGCUGUCCUCAGACACUCCAGAAGAGGGAGUCAGAUCUUGUUACAGACGGUUGUGAGCCACCAUGUGGUUGCUGGGAUUUGAACUCCUGACCUUCGGAAGAGCAGUCGGGUGCUCUUACCCACUGAGCCAUCUCACCAGCCCGCGUCUUGAUUUAUGUCAGCUUCACAGAAUAAAGACCGACUAAUGAUUAUCCAAGUGGUGCUUUUCAUUACAUGUCCAGAGGUACAAGUUCAGUCACAAUUAGAAAAGGCAAACAGAACAGAUUAUUCUUGUUAUUAUUAACCAUAUAAUUCCAGAUUAAAGAAAGUAUCUGAACUGGUCUUUUUAUGAAUAGCAAAUACCUAACCUUUUACUGUGUGUUUUAUCAUCUAUGCCAUAAAGUAGAAAAAGUUUGUUUUAGUCAACCUAUCUUAUUUACUGAAUUCUAUUCCUCCAGGGGUGUACCCUGUAUGAUUCCCUUUCUUUAAACUACGUUUGCAGAGUGCUCUAGGCCUAUAAUAAAAAGAGACCUAUAACCUAUUCUUCUGGCCAGUCAGGAUUUUUCACUUGUGUCUGUUUACCCUGCACCAACUAUACUGUUUGAGUUUGCUCAAGGGCAGCUAUCCCAGGCAGAUUCCUGGAGUAAUGGCUUCAUUAAGCAAUGUGCUUUCUGUGCUUAACCAACUCCAGAGCGUAAGGUGGACUUACAAAUAGUGGCCAGAUAGAGUUCAUUUAGGAUUUUGCUAAAAAAGACUCAGACACAACCUUUCUCAGGAAAAGACGUAAAAUGAACCAUAAUUCAGAAAGUCCCCAAGAAUGCAGCACACAGAGACCACAUUGUAAGAUAUUUACUGAAUUUUUCAGGUUUCAUUCUUUUUAAUCAGUUACUUCUUAAAGAUUAAAGGGUAAUUCACUAAUUACUAGAUUUUUCUUCCAACCCAUUCUGCAAAAUUUGCAGUCUUUUCUGUGGGUUACUCGCAGCCACAUCAUCAUUUCUGCCUGACUCGAAACUACAAGUUGCCAUCAAUGUGUCAAGAGAUCAUUCCUCAUGUCUUUAAUCCCAGCACUCGGGAUGCAGGAACAGGUGGAUCUCUGAGUUCAAGGACAUCCAGGGCUACACAGAGAAAGCCUGUCUUUAAAACAAGACUAUAUAAAAUGCAAGGCAUAACUGUACUAGUUCUCCCCCACCCCCAAGAAUUGUAGAGGUGUUGGUUAGUUUGGGUUUUUUGUUUUUGUUUGUUUUUUUAAUUUCAGUAGCCUCCAAAAUCGUAGGAUUAUGACAUUUUCAUGCACGUAUCCCUGACCUUUGCCUCCUUUCUCCCCCUCUUCUGGGAGCCCUACUUCAAAAUCCUUAAAAAUGUAUCAAAAAAUAAAUAAAAUACCAAUAACAGGUUUUCAGUUUUGCCUUAUAUGAUUUACAAUGAAAACAUUAAGAUUUGGUGUCUGUUUUAAUCUAGGUGUGUGAGCAUUGAAGGACAAGUAGCCCAUGUUUUAGAAUAUUUUCUGUAAAUAUGAUGCUAAUAUUAAAAAUAGAGAUAUUCUUCCCUUUAAAUUAAAGACCAUUUGAGCCAUGCACCUAGAGUCAUGAGUGGUACCUCGAGUCCACAUAAAGGCAGGAGGAGAGAAGCAUGCCUCAGACCUCACAGUCUUGCUGGGGCAUGUUCCCACCUCUGCACACACAUGGUAAUAAGUAAACAGACACACAAUCCUCUGUAAGCAUUGAGUUUGCUGGCCUGUUAGAAAUGACCU